rnacentral:rRNA from 1 species
GACGAACGCUGGCGGCGUGCCUAACACAUGCAAGUCGAACGGGUGAGAGGAGCUUGCUCCUUGAUCUAGUGGCGAACGGGUGAGUAACGCGUGAGAAACCUGCCUUUCAGUGGGGGACAACAGUUGGAAACGACUGCUAAUACCGCAUAAUGUGCCGGAGGGGCAUCCCUCUGGUACCAAAGCUUUAUGUGCUGAAAGAUGGUCUCGCGUCUGAUUAGCUAGAUGGCGGGGUAACGGCCCACCAUGGCGACGAUCAGUAGCCGGUCUGAGAGGAUGAACGACCACAUUGGGACUGAGAUACGGCCCAG